AAGGAUAUAGCUCAGCGGCAUAGCAUAGCACUUGCCUGGAAAGCAUGAGGUCCUGGGUUUCAUUCCCGGUACCAUAA
rnacentral:tRNA from 1 species